ensembl:lncRNA
GAUGUCAGCGGGCAGUAAAGGGGAAGUAUGUGUCCUUCAUGUGUUAUAUAUACUGAAGAAGAAAGCUGACGAAUGACCUCUCGAUGCUGGACACAUGAGAGGUCAGUGGAAAACAUCAGCACAGCCAGGCGUGGACGGAGCGCUCAGAGAGAACGAGAUCUGCAUGUUCUGACCGUGAAUCAGAGAGCUGUGAGUACAGAGGUCGUGUGUGUGAGCAGUGAAAGGUCAAUUCAGAGGUCACACGCUGCAUUCACCCUUUUACCUGCAUUCUCUGAGAUCAUGUGAUGCAGCACUUCCUCUUCACAAUCAAACAUUCCAGAACAGCGCGGAGCCGUUUCCGUGGUUACUCUUGACCUCCAUACAGCCCAUAAUCGCUCUCAGUGAAAGGUGUGUGGAGAAACAUCUGACCAUCAGACGAGUAUAAACAGGUCUGUUAAUGUUCUAAUGUUCUGAUGUCUGACGCCUCCUGCUGGUGCAAACAAGAGAUUGUUGGGUUACUGUAUUAUUUCUGUUAUUAACAGCCAUUUAAGUGUGAAAGUUUGCAGAGAGUUCUUAUAAACCGGAUCAAAUGUGAUUCAUCUGCAGCUGUUAGGAGCCUCAGAGGUGUUUGUAUGCUGCUCACUGUUUGUGAAGCCACAGGCUCCUUUAUUCAAACAAUCCAGCGCCGUCGUCACGGAGACGAACAGGAAUGUCCCAGGUCCCGUGACGAGGGGCCUCACUAAGGUCCUUUACAGUACAGACUGAUUAGAGACCGCAGGAGGAGUCCCAUAAUAAUGAGAAACAGCUCUGGAGAAGUCUCUUCUGCUCACCAAGACUGCAUUUAUUUGAUGAAUAAUACAGUAAAAACUCUGAAAUAUUAUUACAAUUUAAAACAGCUGUUUUCUAUGUGAAUAUCUGCUAAAAUGUAAUUUAUUUCUGUGAUGUGCAGCUGUAUUUUCAGCAUCAUUACUCCAGUCUUCAGUGUCACAUGAUCUUCAGAAAUCAUUCUAAUAUGAUGAUUUGCUGCUCAAGAAACAUUUCUGAUUAUUAUCAAUGUUGAAAACAGUUGUGCUGCUCAAUAUUUUUGUGAUGCAUUUCAUUUUUCAGGAUUUACAGAUGAACAAAAAAUUCAAAAGAACAACAUUUAUUUGAAAUAGAAAUCUUUUGUAACAUUAUAAAUGUCUUUACUGGCACUUUAGAUCAAUUUAAUGCGUCCCUGCUGAAUAAAGUAUUGAAUACUUUGAGCUUGUUUUU